CUGUUUUAUUUAUAUCUUGCAAUAUGAAUUUUUAAUUUUUUAUACUGUUUUUUAUUAUGUGUGAUUUUAGUCUAUUUUGAUUAUUGAUGUAACAUUUUGCUAUAACUAUUAAACAAAUUUUUUUAGCGCGAAUGGAAAAAGUGAUUGAUCUUUGUGAUUGAUCUUUUUGUUUUCUUAAAUUUUGAGAAGUAACAGUUUGUCCAUCUUGAUAAUGUGUAUAAUUAUAAACGAAAAAGUGAAAUACAUUGUAAACAGUCUAAUAGAAAAAUAUUGUGUCUAGAUCAUGAAAAAGUUAUUUAUUUUUUUCUAAAAAUUAUUUAUUUUUAAUUUAUUUUUUCAUUAAUGUUUAUAAAGUUAAUAUUGUAAUUUAAAACUAAAAAUAUAUUUUGAGGAGAGUUAUUUUUUCAUGAUCUAUCUGUAUUUUAUUUCCGCGUGCAAGAAAAAUCUACGACUUUUGUCGGUACAUUUAUAAAUUAAUAGAUUCGAACAAAAAUUCUGCAAAUAGCCAUAAAUGUGCGUUAUAUAACUUUGUAAAUGUAAAAAUAUGUUUCGAUCUCCUUUUCUUAAUUUGUGAGUUUUUAUUGUGUAUGAAUUGCGAAGUCUGCGACUGCAAUAGAAUGAGUGAGAAGUGUACGUUUUCAAAAGAGUUUAAGUCUACUCUUAGUAAAAUUACUUUUUUAAAAUAAUACACAUGAUAAUUAAAAAAUGAUUUCUGCUUGCAUCUGAAGAAAAAUGGACCGAGCUUUUUUGGAAACAAUGAUUGCAUUGUAAUGCGUGCCAUUUGCGAACCUAUAUGCAGUCGACAAUCUGACUCAUUUACGAUGCUCGAAUGUAUCGUUUACCUCAAUAAAAUAGUAUUAAAAAAAAUCAACAUAAUUGCGACGAUUGACUCGUCUAAGAAAGUACGUGUUAACCUCCAUCAAGUAGUUGUGAUAUUGCAUGAUUAUUCUCGCAUUAAUUUCUGUGCAUUUUUUUAUAUAAAUUUUUAUGAUUACAUUCGUGUGAUUCAUGAUCUGAAAGUUAAAAAAAAUUUAAAUAAAAUUAUAGACAACUUUAUUGUCAAUUAACUUUGUUGUGAAUUUAUUUCAUGUGAAAAACAGAUAGUUUUUGUUUUAUAUUAUGCAAAUUUAAUAUAUGAGUUUUUGUGGAUUCGUAAUUUUCACAAGAGUGUAACGCUAAAGAGAAACGUCACGUGUAUAUGUAGCGAAUAAAAUUCGUAUUUAUUGCACGUCGCUUGGUUACUCGGAGACAAUAUGAAUGAAAAUAAAGAUAGUCGUGCUUCACUUUCCCUCAAGAUGCACAUCGGUGUUGCGCAUUUUGCAGUCAUGUAUAUGCGAUGUAAUGAUUUUUGUUAUCUUUCUUUGUACAGCGAAAUAAGAUCCCAAACGCCUCGGAGCGUGGUGAGCGAUGCCGAUUUUCAAUCUUCACGCGAUGUACGCACCACGGUGUUACGUAAAGUAAAAACAAGAUUCUCUGGACGUAUGAUUCAAUACGCAGGCUAUGGCAUUAGAAUCGUAUCGCUUGGCUGCGUUACGAUGUCGUUUCAGUCUUGGGAAGUGUGCUUUCGUGGAUCGCAAAACCGGUAAAAAUUGUAUUAAUAUCCUUGGCUUGCUUUCAGAUAUGCGACUGUCAGAGUGGCGUAACGUAAGACCGGUGACCAGCUAUAUCUGCCCGAAAUGCAACGCGGGCUUCCGGAGGACGUGGGACCUGAUUAGGCAUAAAUGUGGCCAGACGCUGCGAUACGCGUGUCCGUAUUGUCACAAAAAGGACAAUUCGUCCUCGAACGUUUACAGGCACAUCAGGCGGUGGCAUCCGAAUCAGCCCGUUAAUGUAAACAGAAUGUUCUGAACGGUACCGUAUAACGGGAUACCGAUCGAAAACCGACUGAUAAUAUAUUCUUACUGGCUAUUUAUAUUACAUAUACGAGAAUAAAUUGUUCUGAAAGAUGUCCUGUUGUUAGCAGAAAUACUAACUACUGACUGAAAAUAUAUUCCUACUUAACGUAAGAAUAAAUUUCUCUUUAGAUGUCUCGACGCAAACUUUGAAUAUAGUUUUCUAUGUAAUUCCUCUCCCCCAUAAAUCUAACAUGCAGCACCUUAAUUUACCUUAUAUUUCCAAUCUUUUAUAAUUUUGCUGUUUGUCACGCAGCGCAAUUGGGAUUUUCUCCAACUUUUUAUAUAAAUAUUUCUAUUUUUUAUCUGAUAAUAUUUUUAUUUUUUAUAUUUCGAUAAAAUAACGAUAUUACAAUAUUAACGUGAUAGAAAAUAUCUCGGGAAUCAUAGUUGCAAAUUUCAAGCCUUUACACUAAACACGAUUAUUAUAAUCCGAAUCAUCUAAUUUAAUUGUUUAAUUUUAAUAAUAUAAAAGCCCGCAUGUAAUGCAGUUAUCGCAGACACAAAGUUACAUGGUUUACCCUAAUGCUAAAUGAUAUACAUACAAAUGGACGGAUAGGGAGCGAUGACACGUUUGCAACAGAGUGCAGCUUGAUGUGUCCUACAUUGCGAUUGUGUGAUUAUAACUCGAGCUUCGAGUUACGUGCAAAAUUAAUCAUAUGGCUUUAUUUCUGUUGUUUCCCGACCUGACUUGUCUCUUAUGCCGCAUUUGUUUGUUGCGUAUAUAACGACCCGUAGGGAACGAGAACGAUCCAUGUUAUAUUUUGUAGACGAGCAAUUAUGCCUAUACAUCUAUACAGCAGGAAUAAAGCUUCUUUCCAGUUGAGAGAAAAGAAAUUGGCAUCGAUCGUUUUCGAUUCCGAACAGCUGACACAAUCCCCCAUCCCGUGAGCAUCCUCGCAGGAUACACUCCAUCGAUCCAGCUGAAGCGUGCGUUCGUUCUCUUAUGUUAAUCUUACUUCUCUCGACACCACGGAUUCGCGCACAUUCACGAUCUCGGGGUGAGAACGGAAAGUAAUCCGAGGAGCGAACCCCGCGCGUUGUCGGCCACCGCUAACUCGACCCUUCGAAUUUUUCAGGUGCCCGCCAGGUGAACGCCGCCCGGAAGCGUCACAAAGUGUACUCCUUGAACAAGAGUCACUACUGCCCGCGCUGCAACCGCGGCUUUACCCUGAAGAAGAACAUGAUGCGGCAUCUGCGCCACGAAUGCGGCAUGGCGCCAAAGUAUCAGUGCCCGUACUGCGACAAGCCCUCCAAAUUCACGCAGAACAUUUACUCGCACAUCCGAAAGUAUCAUCCCGGUCAGGCCUUGUGCUUCAGGCGGUUGUACUGAGCAGUGUCAUAGAGCGUGUGGGACGGCCGGAUCGAUCGUCCCAUUCACCUCUUCGUUCGCUUUCGUUCGGAUCGUUCCUUUGUUAUCCGGCUAACACUGAAAAAAAAAAAAGCCUUUGUGAAAGAAAGGAAAAGUCAAAUAAAAUUCCUGCGAGUCGAGCGUUACUCACGUCCAAUCUCUGAUCCCGCUUCUACGAUCGAAGUGCUGCCAGCCCCCGACACAAGCGGUUCACUUGCAAGCGCUGCGACAAACGAUACGUCUACAACAGGGACCUGACGAGGCAUCAGAUGUACGACUGCGGCAGAUCACCGCGUUUCAAGUGCCCGUACUGCGGCCAGCGGGCUAAGUAUCGCUCGACCAUUUACAAUCACGUGCGAGCAAUACAUCCCGAGAUGGACGUGUCGACAGUAGACCUUGGCUAUGAUAUUUAUUUCGCGUAAAAAAUCCGGACUUAUUAUUUUUUUGCGCGCGAAACGAUUAAGUUCACUGACAGUGGGGGAGAUCUAUCGGAGUUGUUGAACUACGUAAAUCUGUUGUUUUCUAAUACAUCACUAAAUGUUUAUAUGGAACAAUCUGCCUUCUCCCCCCCCCUCACCAUUGUCUACUUUGCAGUGAGAAGAGAAACGCACGCUCGAAUCGAGCGACGAUAACACCUUGUAUCUUGUCAACUUUGUGAUCGGUGAGCAUGCGACAUCAUUUUUUAUCAACUUUUAUAAUUUCGAAAAUGAAUAAAAAAAUAACGAAUAAAAACCUACCAUGUAUCUCUCGUAUCGAGGAUGUCUUCAUUUCGCAAUGAAUGUUGUAUUACUGUAUUUCUCUUGUACUCCCAUACUCGUCUUCUCCUGGUCGAAGUGUACUUGGGUUCACGUAACGUUUACCGUCUCCAUUUCCUUGCUUGUUUAUUUUUCAGGA